GAUGAACGCUGGCGGCGUGCCUAAUACAUGCAAGUCGAGCGAACAGAUGAGGAGCUUGCUCCUCUGACGUUAGCGGCGGACGGGUGAGUAACACGUGGAUAACCUACCUAUAAGACUGGGAUAACUUCGGGAAACCGGAGCUAAUACCGGAUAAUAUAUUGAACCGCAUGGUUCAAUAGUGAAAGACGGUUUUGCUGUCACUUAUAGAUGGAUCCGCGCCGCAUUAGCUAGUUGGUAAGGUAACGGCUUACCAAGGCAACGAUGCGUAGCCGACCUGAGAGGGUGAUCGGCCACACUGGAACUGAGACACGGUCCAGACUCCUACGGGAGGCAGCAGUAGGGAAUCUUCCGCAAUGGGCGAAAGCCUGACGGAGCAACGCCGCGUGAGUGAUGAAGGUCUUCGGAUCGUAAAACUCUGUUAUUAGGGAAGAACAAAUGUGUAAGUAACUAUGCACGCCUUGACGGUACCUAAUCAGAAAGCCACGGCUAACUACGUG
rnacentral:rRNA from 1 species